UACGGGGGGGGCAAGCGUUGUUCGGAAUUACUGGGCGUAAAGGGCUCGUAGGCGGCCAACUAAGUCGGAUGUGAAAUCCCCAGGCUUAACCUGGGAACUGCAUCCGAUACUGGAUGGCUUGAAUCCGGGAGAGGGAUGCAGAAUUCCAGGUGUAGCGGUGAAAUGCGUAGAUAUCUGGAGGAAUACCGGUGGCGAAGGCGGUUCUCUGGGCAUUACCUGACGCUCAGGUGCGAAAGCUAGGGGAGCGAACAGG
rnacentral:rRNA from 1 species